rnacentral:rRNA from 1 species
CCUAUGAAUAAUUUAAAUGGCCGCAGUAUUUUGACUGUGCAAAGGUAGCAUAAUCACUUGUCUUUUAAUUGGGGACUGGCAUGAAAGAGGCGACGAAAUUUAGGCUAUUGGGUUGCACUGUAAAAUUGACAUAAAAGUUAAAAGGCUUUUAUAGACCAAAGGGACGAUAAGACCCUAUAAAACUUUACUUUGGAGGAGGUUAAAUAGGCAGGGGCUGAACUCCAUAGUUUAGCUGGGGCGGCUUAUAUAAAAACAAUUAUAGGAGAAAUAUGUUAGAUAGAGUUUAGGAUCUCUUACGAGAAAUAGACAAGUUACUUUAGGGAUAACAGCAUAAUCCCCCCAGAAAGUCCUAAUUGGCGGGGGGGCUUAUGACCUCGAUGUUGAAUUGAGAAGUCUAGUGUAAGUAGAAAUAUAUUAAGAGAGUCUGUUCGACUUUUAAAUUCUC